rnacentral:rRNA from 1 species
AUUGAACGCUGGCGGCAUGCCUAACACAUGCAAGUCGAACGGCAGCACGGUCUAGCUUGCUAGAUGGGUGGCGAGUGGCGUACGGGUGAGUAAUGCGUAGGAAUAUACCUUGAAGUGGGGGAUAACUUGGGGAAACUCAAGCUAAUACCGCAUGAGCUCUACGGAGGAAAGCUGGGGACCUGAAAAGGCCUGGCGCCUUAAGAAUAGCUUACGUCCGAUUAGCUAGUUGGAGUGGUAAAGGCACACCAAGGCGGAGAUCGGGAGCUGGUCGGAUAGGACGGACAACCACACUGGGACGGAGGCACGGCCCAGACGCCUACGGGAGGCAGCAGUAGGGAAUAUUGGACAAUGGGGGCAACCCUGAUCCAGCGAUGCCGCGUGAGUGAAGAAGGCCGUCGGGUCGUAAAGCUCUUUAGGUUGGGAAGAAGAGUGAUGGAGGAAAUGCUAUCACUUUGACGGUACCGACAGAAUAAGCACCGGCAAACUCUGUGCCAGCCGCCGCCGUAAUAC